UUUUUUUUUUUUUGUUUUGUUUUGAAAGGACGGGGCCCUACUGCCCUUAUGCAGGAUCCAAAGCACAAGUUCUUGGACCAUGGAUGGAAUCAGGAAGUAAGUACACUGGAUGUCUCCCUGCAUGUGGGCUCAUGAGAGGCAUGCAUGACCAAGGGUUUCCAUGCAUUGGCAUCAGGCUUGCAUGAGGAACUGGACCCAAUUUAAUAUUUUGGGGCCCGGUCCAUUUUGGAUUGGAUUCAAUGUGUUCCAGACCAGACGGCUACCAUCUUGACCCUGCAUUGAGUUACAAGUUCAGUUUCCUAACAUUUUGACUGGCAUUCAGUGUUGCUGCUGUGCAGUGCCCAAGUCUCAAGGUUUCAGUACAGCCAUGCCUGCGCCAGUUUGGACUGGCUAGAUUCAAGAAGAAUCCAAAGCACAGAUUCUUCUCGGACCAUGUAGUAGGAGCCUUUGCAAAGUCAGUCAGUCCAAGGAAACCAAUCUGAAAGAACUACUAUGGAAAACAUAAUUUCAGGUCGUACUCUCAGAUCUCCCUUGAGCUUUUUUUUUUCCUUGAACGAAAAACUAAAUUUUUUUAGUGGUUGCUUAUAUCAAAACUGUUUCAGAGUGUUAUCUUCUUAGUGCAGAGUUCGACGGUUGAGGUGGUUAGUGCUUCAGAAAACAAAUGUAAGGUAAAUAUGCAAAGCUUGCAGAUUCAGGGGGUGUUUGGAUACACCCCACUAAAGUUUAGCACCUGUCAUAUCGGAUGUUUGGAUGCUAAUUAGGAGUAUUAAACAUAGGCUAAUUAUAAAACUAAUUGCACAGAUAGAGUCUAAUUCGCAAGACGAAUCUAUUAAGCCUAAUUAGUCCAUGAUUUGACAAUGUGGUGCUACAGUAACUAUUUGCUAAUGAUGGAUUAAUUAGGCUUAAUAGAUUCGUCUCACGAAUUAGCAUAGGGUUCUGCAAUUAGUUUUAUAAUUAGCUCAUGUUUAGUCCUCCUAAUUAGCAUCCGAACAUCCGAUGUGAUACUGCUAAAGUUUAGCACCUAUUAUCCAAACACCCCCUCAGUUUAUUCUUCUUUUUUCUUCAUAGUUCUUAGCCCUGCAUAACUGCAUUUAGUCUUUUUCAAAAUUUGAUCCACUCAACACAUGGAACAGAAGCAAUGAUUAACUCUCACCAUUCUGACUCACUUGGGCGGCCGGGAGGCGACGCCGUCGCCCCAAACGAGGCCUCGCCAGAUCUCCAGCUCGGCCACUGCCGUCGGGCCAGUGCCGACAUCAAGCGAUGCCGCGCGUGUCCUUCCCCUUCCUUCCCUUCUUCAUUUUCUUGUUGGAGCUCGAGCUGCACGAGGAUGGCUGGAUCCACGUCUGGGGAGGCCGGAUCCACUUGUCUUGCAUACGGAUCCGUGUCAUUCGACGUGCGAUUCCGGCAGUGGGGGCCUCCAUUGGCCGCUUGCAGAUGCAGGAGGCUCAGCUGCUGCUGCUGCCGCCGCGGGCGGUGGUAGCUCGGCCUUUCGGCGGCAGUGGUGGCUGCAUGGGCUGGCCACCGGUCAGCGGAUCCGCUGACAGGCGCGGCGGCGGAUGCUCCUAGGCACAGGGCGGGGUCCGUCGCGCGAAGUGGCUGUACGCGUGGGCGAGGAUGGCGGCGAGCAGCAAUCAGGCGUGGACGAGGAGGUGUCGUGAUGACGAUGCGAGGCCCCGAGGCGGCAAUGGAUCCAACUCCGCCUUGGCCAGGCCGGAUCUGGCCGCUCAUCCAUGGUAGGCCGCGGGAGGCAUGGCGGCGGCGGGAGUUGUCAGUGACACGACCGCAGUAAUGUGCAGGCGCGGGCGUGGAACACGGCCCUGGCGGUGGCUUGGUGCCAUGGCCGCCACAGCAGCACGAACAAGGGCGCGGCGGCGCGCUGCCGCGGAGGCAGGUCGCACGUGGGUUUGGAGCCUGUGGCGAGGUGGAUCUGAGGUUGGCGGCGCGUCAGGGCGGCGAGCCUGGGGCGUGGGCAUACAGUUGCAGCGGAUGAGGAGGCACGGCGGCAAAAGCCCUUACCGACAAUGUUGCUUGUGACGAUGGCAGCGGUGUCCUAGGGCGUCGUUCUCCCCAUUGGGACGUCAUGUUGGAGCUUUAUCCCUACUGCAUAUGGUUCUCUGGGUGAAAACCCUAUCCAGAUUCUAGACGAGCGAUGGCGGUGCCCUCCUUGGAGACGUCGUUUAUAGAGACACAACUCGGUUUGUGGCAAUACUGGUGACGCCGAUAGUCAUAGCAGUCUACUGCUGGUGGCGACGGUCCGCCGUGAUGGGCUUGCAAAGCGGCAAGGCGGCAUGGUGCAAGAUAGCAAACUUGAUGGGGGUUGCUGAGCUCACGUGGAGGUGAUCGUAGUUGUGGUGGCGGCUAGGGGUUGCCGCAUGGUUGUUGGGUUGGUUGCUUGCAGCGGACCGCGACUGGCGUUGCUUGGCAGUUGUCAGUGCGGCGUGGGACUACGUCCGAGGAUAGCGCUUGCAGCAACGACGUCGUGGGACGACUAGGCUUGCGACGGGUUGCUCAGCUAUGCUGAGCUACUCUGGUGCGAUACGUAGUCGGAAGACGGCGCAAGCGACUUCUUUGGCUUUCUGGCAUGGCGGCAGAGGAUAUGUGCGCGGGUUGAGCAACGAGGUGAAGUCAACCUGCGGCGGCGGCUUUUGUUGUUUGAUGGAGACCUUAGGUUCCGGGGCAACAUUGCUGCCAUUCUGGCGGCGACAUAUGAAACGGAUCCGUGACAUGCAGGUUUGUGGCGGACGUGGUAAGGCCCCCGCGCGUGGUGUUUCUUCAAGGCGACAAGAGCAAGAUGGAUUCCAACGCCAGAUGUGGCAAGGCCCCCGUGCGUUGUGUUUUCAUGGUGGCGAUUGCGAGGCAGCCUGCGAGAGGUCCGAAUUUGGUGGUAUCACUCUAUCGGGUGGAGUGUGAUGUUGCAACGGCACUACGACGAAGAGUCCCGCAUGGCGGUGGUCUUUUCGGUGCGGUGCGGUGCGGUCUGUUUCUCUCGAUUCUUGUCGACGUGGAGUCAGAGGUUCAGCGACUACAUGAGCGUGAGACUAUCGGGAGGUGCCGCGAUAAAGGCUUCGGCCCUACGCUGUUGCAAGUCGAGUGCUGUAGUGUGCUCUGCUGUCACUGUUUGAGUGGAGUGGUGCGACCGCGUUGAUAUCCCAAUCCAACCGAUCAGGUUUAGUGGUUUUGAGUUAGGUGGUUAUCCGCGUUGACAUCCCAAUCCAACCGGACGAGUCGACCAGUUUUUUCUCCUUUCUUUUCUUUUUCCAGUCUAUCACCUCCCUGAACUGUAGUUUUGUAUUUUUUCUGCUAUAUCAAUAGAAUUCUUGCGCGGUUUGUAAAAAAGAAGAAGCAAUGAUUAGGGUUGGUGGUGCGUCCCUAUUCGAUCAAUUGCUCCUUCCACGUAGACCUCUCUCUUAUAUUAAAAAAAAUUAUAAUCAUAGACCUGUCUCCAGCAAUUUCUUGUCAGUCUUUGGUUGCCCCUUGGCAAACAUUGCAGCUUAGAGCUUCCAGAGAAGCAAUGAUUCAGAACUGGCACGAGUAUUUGUUUAACUGCCACCCGUCUGCAAGCAGGAGCUGUUGAAGACACUAAUCUGAGUGUGAAAUCCACUGAGAAAAGUAAGACCCAGUUUAAGAGUUAAGACCAAAUCAUUCCGAAUGAUCGCCGAAAGCUUUGUCCUAACAAAGUACCCAGCUUUGGAUCGAGUUUGGACAGCACAAAAGCACGCAAGUGAUGUGACGCUGACCACUCAUGAACAAGUGGAUUGGUCAGUGUCACCAACCUUUUUCCCUUCUGAUCAUGCUGUUGCCGAAUGCCACAACAUCGGCAGUCGAAGAUCUGUCUAGUGUAGUCGAAAAUCAGAAACUGCUCCAAAAGACGUGAAAUGCUGGUGCGAUUUGAGUACUCCUCCGUGGAGACUGAUGCAGGCAAGGCAUGCUCCUGUAAAAAGUGAGCAAGUGCUUGGUGCCAUGGCUUUUCAUCAGUUCAUACCCUGCCUGGUGCCUGCAGCAUGGAGGCAGCACAGCAGCAUCUGCAGUCAAUCGAUGAGAUGAGAGUAGUUACCAUGAUGUACAAUUGACAAAUCAGUUUGUGCCGGCACUCAGAACUCAUAAAAAGAAGAGUACUGAGUACUAGGGAUUAACAGUGGUGAGCAGUAAUUUCUGGUAUGUUGGCAGUUGGCUUGAAUUUUUUUUUUCUACUCUGCCACAGCUACAAUAUGAACAUCCAGAAUGACGAAAAGGACCAUGAUCAUUGCGCAACGACACAUGCGUCAUGUCUGAAUGAUUGGGUAAGGCCGGUACGAGCCAACACAUGCGGUGCUUCCUAGCGAUCGCGACCGCGGAGAUCUGGUGCAUCCGAAGUAGACGGAGUUGGUUGUUGAAGUUCAUGAUCUAGUACUGGAGAUUUCUCCAACUCUGGUUUUGCAACCAAAUGUUUGUAAACACCUGAAUUCAUCUGAAACCUCGAAAUCCAGACGGAUCGUCGUUGGAACUAGUAUAACACCUGCAACCACAACCAUGCCAAGGGUUGCAGCCUGCUAGGCUAUCUCUGAUAGUCUGAUGCAGAAGUAGAGCUGAUGGUUCAGUAGGAAGUGCCCAUGACAGGUGGGUCCACACCGUGUCACACUGGAGAGAGGAGGCGUCAGGCAUGUGCUUGUGGUUGUGGGCGCCAUGCACGACCUUCACAGCUCAUAGUUUUUUGACCGCGUAACAGAAAAAAGUGAUUGGGAUGAGCGAAGGAAGCAUCUCCAGGUCAGGACGCGAGCAAACCAUAGGCCGAUCGAUCCUACCAUUGCUUUCGCUUCACUUCAAAGCUUUGGUUCCCUGCUGGUCAGCAACCAUAGGCUGUGAGCUGUGACAGCUUGCAAGUUGCUGCUAGGAUUUACCUUAUGAUAAUUUCCAUUAGAUGCGUGGUAAUCAAGGUCAAAGCAAAGCAUUUGUGGACAAAGACAGUAGGCCUUUUGAACAGUUAGUUGUUCAGGAGCAGCAUUCUGUUCCUGAGUCCUGACAGUACCCAAAAGCAUUCAUGUUCCAUCAGAUAUGGAGGCCUCAGGUGCUCACCUUAACAGAAUUACUACAAAGCAAACCUUAAGUAGUUAACAAACGUGAUUGCCCCAGAGUCCUAGGCUCCAAACUCCAUGAAUGGUUCUUCAGUUCUAUCAGGAAAAUGGAGAUCAUGGAGCUUGAUAUGUGUACUUCAACAAUGUCCUAAGACACAGCACCACACUAGAAAGAAAUUCAGGGGGCUAAUUUCACAUCCUAAAGCUUAGAUGCAGGUAAUUAAAUACUUUAAGAUAUCUGAAUUUCAUAAGUACACAGGCCUAACCACACCCCAACCAAACAUUAAGUGUGGGAUAAUCAAGGUCAAGGCAAGCAUUUGUGGAAAAAGACAGCUAGUAAUGUUACUAGGGUAUACUACUAUUGAACAGUUGUUCGGGAUCAGGAGUAGCAUCCUGUUCCUGUACAGUGUGAAGCAAGGAAAGGCAUUGCAUUAACUGACAAACCAAAGGCACCUUUCUUCUUGCCUGGAGACUUGAGUGAGGGCAAAGUACAGUACAACAUAUGAAUGUUGAGUUGCUUACCGUAACACAAGUACAGUUGUACAAAUCAAACAUGAUUGCUCCAUAAUCAUAGGCUUCUAACUCCCUACUAAGCUCCUGAAUUCUAACAGGAGGAUGGACAUUAGGAAGCUUGAUAUAUACAGAACAAUGUCCUAAUUAAGCCACACACACACACCAUACCACAAAUUCAGACCCUAAAGAUUCCACACCCUAAUCGACGAUGGCUGAAUAACAGGUACCUAAAUUUGACACCCUAA
rnacentral:lncRNA from 1 species